CCUCCGCCGCUACCUUCUCCAAAAAUCCCACCAGUUAUACCUCCUGGGUGUUUAGGGAGGAGACAAGCACAUGGGCUGAGCAUGGUUGAAGGAAUUUUAUAACUUUGAUAGGCUAUUGUGUAAAAGAGAUUUGCAUUCCAUAGUAUAUACUCCAUGAAAAUGGUUUUCUUCUCAAAGGUCAUGGGGGUUGAUGGCGGUGGAAUUGGUGGUGGUAGCAGUGGCGGUCUUGGUGACGGUGGUAAUGGCGGAGGCUUUGGAGUUGGUGAUGGUAGAGGUGGAGGUACCAAUGGUGGUUUAGGAGGUAGUGGGGUUGUAGAGG
rnacentral:lncRNA from 1 species